GUGCUCACUCCAGCAGCACAUAUACUAAAAUAGCAAUAAUAGAGAGAAGAUUAGCAUGGCCCCUGCACAAGGAUGACAUGCAAAUUUGCGAAGCAUCCCAUAAAUAA
rfam:Pteropus alecto contig46431, whole genome shotgun sequence.